rnacentral:rRNA from 1 species
AUUGAACGCUGGCGGCAGGCCUAACACAUGCAAGUCGAGCGAGCGGCGGACGGGUGAGUAAUGUCUGGGAAACUGCCUGAUGGAGGGGGAUAACUCCUGGAAACGGUAGCUAAUACCGCAUACCAUCAGAUGUGCCCAGAUGGGAUGAGCUGGUAGUUGCGGUAACGGCUCACCUAGGCGACGAUCCCUAGCUGGUCUGAUAGGCUGACCAGCCACACUGCAACUGAGCCACGGUCCAUACUCCUAAGCGAGGCAGCAGUGGGGAAUAUUGCACAAUGGGCGCAAGCCUGAUGCAGCCAUGCCGCGUGUGUGAAGAAGGCCCUCGGGUUGUAAAGCACUUUCAGCGGGGAGGCGUUACCCGCAGAAGAAGCACCGGCUAACUCCGUGCGAGCCGCCGCGGUAAUAC